rnacentral:rRNA from 1 species
UGGGGAAUCUUCCGCAAUGGACGAAAGUCUGACGGAGCAACGCCGCGUGAGUGAAGACGGCCUUCGGGUUGUAAAGCUCUGUGAUCCGGGACGAAAGAGCCUGAGGUGAAUAGCCUAAGGAAGUGACGGUACCGGAAAAGCAAGCCACGGCUAACUACGUGCCAGCAGCCGCGGUAAUACGUAGGUGGCAAGCGUUGUCCGGAAUUAUUGGGCGUAAAGCGCGCGCAGGCGGCUUCCUAAGUCCAUCUUAAAAGUGCGGGGCUUAACCCCGUGAUGGGAUGGAAACUGGGAAGCUGGAGUAUCGGAGAGGAAAGUGGAAUUCCUAGUGUAGCGGUGAAAUGCGUAGAGAUUAGGAAGAACACCGGUGGCGAAGGCGACGUUCUGGACGAAAACUGACGCUGAGGCGCGAAAGCGUGGGGAGCAAACAGG